GAAUAUUUUUGAACAUGGCAAGGAAAUAUUUUGUCAUAUGUGAGGAAUAUAUGACCCAAGAGAUUUAUGAGAAUUAUUUGGGAAUUUUUGGAAUGAUAGAAAUGGGGGUUGCUUGAAAAUCCAAGGUAACAUAGGUUAUUCCUUUAAUAGAAAAAGGAAUAUCCCCAUGGAAAAGAAUAUUGGGAUAGGCUCAGCAUGGAAAUGGCUAGGUCUUGGGAUGGUUUGAAGGUUGGCAAGCCACUAGGGAAAAUAAAUCAAGGGUAAUCCUUUUAGGUUUCAAAACUAUUACAAUGAAACUUGGUUUCGGUGGAGCUGGGCCGACCAAUGAAAGCGCAACCCGCAGAUCGCUGACGUAGCCCUACUUCCUGAUCCAGACCGUCCAUUCACGGCGAUCCAAUGGUCCGGACUGGUGCGGGGUUUUGAUGGGGUUUUGAGAGGGUUUUGAUGGGGUUUUGAGAGGUUUUCAAACGUUAGGGUUGAGCAUAAGUAAUUCGAAAAAAACAAAAAAA
rnacentral:lncRNA from 1 species